UACGAAGGGGGGCUAGCGUUGCUCGGAAUUACUGGGCGUAAAGGGCGCGUAGGCGGCACUGUUAGUCAGGCGUGAAAUUCCUGGGCUCAACCUGGGGACUGCGCUUGAUACGGCAGAGCUAGAGGAUGGAAGAGGCUCGCGGAAUUCCCAGUGUAGAGGUGAAAUUCGUAGAUAUUGGGAAGAACACCGGUGGCGAAGGCGGCGAGCUGGUCCAUUACUGACGCUGAGGCGCGACAGCGUGGGGAGCAAACAGG
rnacentral:rRNA from 1 species